rnacentral:lncRNA from 1 species
AAUUCAUCCCACUACUAAUGUAGUGAUUUUAUCUUAUUUUAGAGUUUUUGACUUGGUGUAUAAUUUGUCUAUUAUGAGUAUAGCCAUCUCUGCUCUCUUUUGGUUCCAUUUAGGUGAAAUUUUUUUGUCGUUGUUCUUUUACUGUCAUUCUGUGUGUAUACCCUUAAAGGUGAAGUGAGUCUCUUAUAGGAAAUUUUAUAUCCAUUCAGCCAUUGUCUUUUCAUUAGAAAAUGAAAUCCAUAAUAAUUUCAAUGUAGCCUUGUCAAAAUCCAGAAUUCAGUAAAUCUCAAAGCUUUGCCCAACUCUGAAAUUUAUUAACUUGAUUUUUCCUCUCUUCAAAAUAAUUAAACAACAUUAAUUAUGUUGAACAUUUUUUUAUCUCACAAAAAUAGCAGGGUGAUCAGUAGAGAAGUAGGGGAGAAGGAGGGAGGAAGAAAGGAAAAGAGGAAGAACUGGGUAAUAAAAUCGACCACAUUGUGCUAUGUGCAUGUGUGAAUAUACCACAGUGAAUCCCAUUAUAUGUAUAAUUAUAAUGUACUUAUAAAAAUAUAGACAUAAAUAAAUAGAAGGAAGUCCAAAAGAUUAGAAGAAGGGGAUCAAGGUAGCACAGGCAUGGAGGGAAGUGGAAGUAGUGAGGAAUGAAUUGGAACAAAUUAAAUUAUGUGCAUAUAUGAGUAUUUAACAAUGAACCCACUAAUAUGUAUAAUUAUAAAGCACUAAUGGAAAUAUUUUUAAAAAAUUUGCAACAUUAAAUUCAUUACAGUAAAUCAACUUUUCCCUACAGAGUUGUAAUAUUUAAAUACAUAUAGUCCAAUAUAACUCAUUUUAUCUUCUGAAGAUACAAAUACAGCCUUUUACUUUUCUCAGUGUUUCUAAUACUCAUUUGUCACCAUUAGUAUGAAACCCAUUAUUUUCUUAUUUAUCUUCCCCUUGUAUCUCCAGACACCACUGUUUUUCUGAGGAUCAUAGACUGAUCAAAUAAUGGUCUUAUUUGAUUAAGUAAAGUCAUCCAGUAUACAGAGAAAUAGUGAGUCUGAUGAUUUCAGUGACUUCAUUGCUUCUGUUUCUGGCAAACAAUUUCACUUUUGAACAUGGUCCUGCAUCAUCCAUUAUAUUCUCAUCCUUUGCUCUGGCAAUACGCUUAAUGGCCCCAAUCCUGCAAGGCCACACUGGCAACCCAUUUUUAGGUUGUAAUAAGCUUGAAUUCUCAAUCACCAGAUAACUUUUUUUCUCUCUUUGAGACACUAUCAUCAUAGGAAAUUCAGGUGUGAAAGGACCUUGACCACUUUCUGUGAUAGAACCUAUCCUCAGGAACUAACCUGCAUUUUCCUAUCUUGAGCCAGGUUCUCAAAUGCAAACUGCCUCUCCUUCAAUUAAAUUGCCACAGGAGAGUUUCUUGUCUUUCCCUAAUAGGGGAAAUUCGCCAAUCUACUAUGGCAGCAUCUCCCUAUCUUAAAACUCUGAGAGAAGGCACAUUCUUUUGUUCUCAGCACAUCCUGUUCUCAGUAGUGCCUUAGGUUCCUAUGGCAGUCUGACCUCAUCUUCAUCCUGCAUAUUGUAAAGGGAUGGGUAGUUUUAAUAAAGUGAGAAAACAAUUUUAAAAGGAAGUCCUGUUGCAGUGCUUCCUCGAGGUACAUUUAUUUCCCCCAAAAUAGAGAAAAGUUACUUUAAGGAGAGUACUCCAUUUCUAGACAAGGUACACUUUAAAAUAUUUUUCUUUCAAAAAUACGUCAUUAGGCAUUAAAUUCUUCAGCAGGCAAAAUCUAGUUUCUGGGCAAUCUGGUCGGCUUCAUUGAGCUAUACAUCAUAGUAUGUUUUAAUGUUUAGUAAGUUUUAGCAAUAUUUAAUUUUUUUUGCUUGUGACCAAAUCUAAUGCAAUUUAAUUUUUUUUAAAAUUAGGUGAGCGUAUAAAAUACACAGUUAAUAUUCCUAUGUAUUUAAAUGAUAAUCCAGUUUGCUACAGAGUAUUAUGUCUGACUGGAGAGAUACAAUCACCAAAAUUAUUGUUUGAUCCACCAUUUAUAUUUUUUACUCCUGUUCCUUUGGAUGUAACAACUGGGAUGGAUAUCAACAUUUUACCCCAGAACUAUUUCAGGUAAAUUCUUAAUGUGAAUUUAUCAGAUCUUUAUGUGCUAUUUUAUUUGCAUCUGUUAUAUAAGAGAUAUAUGUAAUGUUUCACUUGUUUUUAUAGUUGAAAAGAAGUAUUAAAAUAUUUGUGUAUUAAUAUUUAAAAAUACAAAAUAAUCCUUUAUAGCUAUCUAUAACACUCACUAUAUUUUCUUGUAAAAAUUUUUGAUGUCUCUUUAUGGAAUAAGAAGCUUGAAGUUCCAGCAAGUUAGUUUUAUGUUCCUUUGUGACAAAUUACUACAAACUUGGUGCCUUCAAAAAAAAAUACCUGAGGGGCUGGGAUUAUGGCUCAGUGGCAGAGAAUUUACCUCACACAUGUGAGGCACUGGGUUUGAUCGUCAGCACCACAUAAAAAUAAAUAAACAAAAUAAAGAUAUUUUUAAAAAACCAAACACCUGAUAUCUCACACAACAUGAAUUUAUUAUCUUCCACUUUCUGUGAGUUUAGGAGUCCAGGUUGGCUUAGCUGACUUCUCUAUUCAAUGUUUUAAUCAGCAGAAAUCAAGCUGUUGGCCAAAGCAUCAGUCUCAUCUAGUCUUGCUCUGAUCUAUCAGGUUGUUGGCAGAAUUAAUUUCCUUGUACUUUUAAGACUAGUGUGCCAUUUUUUAACUGGAAACACUCAGCUCUCCAAUUUCAACCUAAAGUUCUAGCCAUGUGGCCAUUACUCACAGCAUACUAGCUAACUCAUCCAAGGACAAAAGUCUAACAUCUAUCAGACUUCUUUGUUUCUGACCUGCAAACCUUUUAAGAUUGUACCUGAUUAAGUCAGAUUUACUAAAAGUCAAUCAUUAGGAACCUUAAUUACACCUGGAAAUUUCCUUUGCCAUUGCCAUAUAAUAUUACCUACUCUCAGAAGUGAUAUCCUAUCGUAUUUAAAGGUCACAUACCCAUUCAAGGGGUACAGUUUACACAAAGUUUGUACACCAAGGUGAAGGCCUCUUGGGGAUUAUCUCAGAUUUCUGCCUGUCACAUUUAGACAGUAUGGUACAAUUCAGUCUGUUGGAUUUACAAAAAGGUCAAAUUUCCAAUAUAGCUGACACUAUAAGUUACACUCAGCAGAAAUAACCAGCAUGAGGUUUAGAUCCCUAAGCAAUCCAGGUAUUGGAAUUAUCUGAAAUUCCAAUAUUCCAAUUAUUAAUUGGUUUGAAAACUAAUCCAACAAAGCUUUUAGAAAUUUUAAAAAGGUUUGCAGGAUAAAAUUUUAAGGGCAUCUGCUAAUACUAAGAGUGUACAUAGCUAACAAAACAGUACAGAAACAAACUAAUGAACAAUACCUCAGUUAACUUUAAAAAUGAAAGGGAGAAAAAAGAAUAAUAAAAACAGCAGGAGAAAAUUAAACCAAAAAUUAUAGAACAUCUCUAAAUAGAGAAACUAUAAUAAAAUGUAAAUGAACUACUCUGAGUAAAGGGUAAUGUUCAAGUAUAUUAGAAAAAUACCCAACUGCUUAUUAAAAGAGGUGUAGAUGAAGCAGAGGGACAAAGGAAAAAACAUAAAGCCAGAAUUUCUCACCCUCAGAACCGUUGACAUUUAAGGGAGGAUAAUUCUUUUUUUAAUUUUAUGGAACCCUAUCCUGUGCAUUAUAGAAUGCUUAGCAAUAUGUUUAGUCUCUUCUCAAUAGCAUCUUUCCCACAUUGUGGCAAAAAAAAAAUCUCAACCCAUUGCUUUGUGUCCCCAAGGGGAGUAAAACCACCCUCAGUUGAGAAACACUAUAGGGAAAUGAGGGAAAAAAUAUAAGGUCAUAACCAAAAUACAUCUGGGAAGCAGUAUUAAUUUCACAUGCAAAGAACUUUAAUAAGCACAUUUUUAAUAUAAUCAAAGUCACUAAUGAAUUAUAAAAGUUACAGUUCACAUAGAAGCAAUCAGAAUUCUAAAAUUGUAUGCAUAAUUAAAAUAGUCUUAAAAUAAAUAAACCCUGAGUUUAAAUAACAGUGAAAGUUAAAUAGACCUUAAUCAUUGUAGGAUAUUCCAAACCAUAUCUCAAAUAUUGAUGGGUCUAGAAGGCAAAAUAUUUGAACAAGAUACUUAACAAGCUUCAUUAUUUUACCAUGUAUAAAGUACUAAACUUUACAACUAGAUAGUAUACAUUUUUCUACGUCAAACAUGGACAAUUUUAAAAAUUGACAGGGUAUGAUUCUAUAGUUAUAGGGUAAGCCUCAAAAAUUUUAGACUUAACGUUUUGUAGGCUAUGUUCUCUGAUACUAAGUAUAAUAAAUUAAAAGCAAAUGAAGAUUAAGAUCCCCCAUAAGUAAGGAAAUGUUAAAACAAACUUCUAUAGGGAGUCAAUGAAAAAACCGUAUUGAAUUAUACAAAUAUAUAACAAUCAAAAUGCUACAUAUCAGUAAAGUAUAUAAUAUAAAUAUUUGUCAUUUCAAUUUUUGGGAUGAUUUAAAAAACAAAGCAAUACAUAUUUAAGUCUAAUUCCUCGCUGGUAUUUUGAGCUAAUUUUUUUUCCUUUUUCAUUUUAAACAGAAGUUCAACUCUAAAUUUCCAGAUUCCUUCAGCAAGGCUUCUUGACAAUGAUGAGAUUCACCCUCUUUCUGUGAUGUUUCCAAAAGGCAGAAUCAUCACAGGAUCCAACAAUGGAAUUAAUAAUGAGCUGUUUUGCCACCUCAGUUUCAAAUCAUCUAAACCAGUGUCAUUUUUCACCAACCUUCUUUUCUAUGAUGAUAGAGAUAACUGGUAAGAUAUUUAAAUGUAGAUACUUUUAUACUUA